AUCCAGAUGAUGAGUCCCAAACAGGGCGAAUUGCGCCUCCUGGAU
rnacentral:hammerhead_ribozyme from 1 species